rnacentral:lncRNA from 1 species
UGCAAACAGAACAAAACGGCAAAAGCGCAGGCCAUCAGAUGGAUGCUCGAAAUGUAUGAAAGACCACGGGAAGUUCUUUGUUCGUUUCAGUUAGGGCAAUGGAAGAAGAAGAAGACCAUUUAGCAUUGCCAUCUUCGUCGGCUUGAUAAUUUACUUUUCAGAUCUCACGGUGAAGAAUAUAUCAGCUACUGAUCCUGGUAAAACCUAAAGCUAAGCUCUUUCCCGGUGUAGCCUGCAAUGUUUGGUUUUUUCCGUUCAAGGUUACAAUUAAAUAAUAUUUUUCCUCUUUUUGUUUCAAAUGCUCAACUGGGUGUUCUUCCUUUUCAGUCAAUAUUCGUAAUCAGAUCCUUUUCAUCUAUCAAAUCUUCUAAUUUGAAUGAUCGCUCAUUUACAGUUUCUUAUCUCGUAAAUUCAUGUGGAUUAACCCUAAACUCUGCUCAAACUAUCUCUAAGAGGGUAUGUCUUAAAACCCCUGAAGGACCAGAAUCAGUACUUAGGCUUCUCAGAGAACAUGCCUUCACCAAUUCCCAAAUCUCCAGUGUUGUUAAGAUGAAGCCCAUAGUGCUUUUACUUCAUUCUGAAAGGACUCUUUUGCCCAAACUUGAGUUUCUGUAUUCUAUUGGUGUUUCAAGAGAAGAGCUUCCAAUAAUUGUUUCUAAGAAUCCAGAAUUGUUGUGUAGAAGUAUAGAGCGAUAUCUGUCCCCACAUUAUCAUAUCCUCAAAAGUGUACUUGUUUGUGAUGAAAAAGUGAUUAAGAGUAUGAAACGCUGGUUAAAAGCUUCUAUAGUGCUUUCGAAGAACGACUUUUUUGCCAAUUUAUCACUCUUAAGAGGGCUUCGAAUUCCUCAGUCUUCCAUCUCUGUAUUGGUCAUCUAUCAUCCCAUGAUUAUGUGCCUAAAAGCUUUGCAUUUUGCUGAAGGUGUUAAGAAAAUUAUUAAAACAGGAUUUGAUCCUUCAGAAGUCAAAUUUGUUAAGGCGCUCAAUAUUUUGCUUGGAAUGACGCAGAAAACAUGGGAUCAUAAAAUGGAGGCUUUCAAGAGGUGGGGUUUUUCUGAAGAAGAGAUUUGGUCAAUUUUCAGAAAGAGUCCCUCGGCUAUGGCUAUAUCUGAAACGAAUCUUAUGCGUAAAAUGAAUUUUUUUGUAUGCAAGAUGGGUUGGCAGCCUGCUGCUGUUGGUAGAGUUCCAGUUGUUCUGGCCUAUGGUUUGGAAUCUAGGAUUAUGCCUAGAUGUUCAGUUGUGAGAGUUUUGCUUUUGAAGGGUUUGAUCAAGGAUGAUAUCCCGAUACCCUCGAUCUUGACCAGCUGCGAAAAAAGCUUCUUGCAAAGAUUUGUGAACAAGUAUCAAGAUCAGGUGCCCCAAUUGUUGGAUAUUUUCCAAGGAAAGAUGGGGCUCACAGAACUUGAGUUUGAUUUUGAUGAUAAACCUGCAAUUUUGUAUUAGGAAAUAUGUAGCAUGCAGUGUCAAUCUAGGGAUUUCCAUUUGGUGAUCUUUUAUGAUUUGGUCCCUUAAUGGUGAACUAGCAAAGCUUGUAUGAGUAGCAUUGUUAACUUGUCAUUAUUAUCUUAGAGGAUUACUUUUGAUAGUUUAGUUUAUUACAUUUUCAUUUAAAGGUACUACUUCACAGAACUGAUGAUAUGAGUAGCUUUGAGAACUAAAUUUCACUUUUCAAUCCUGUCUUGGUCCUUGGAUGGCUUUUUUUUGCCCUGAUCGUUCGGUCAAUUACUUCAACUAUUAAGCUUUGAGUGCUUGCUUAUAUUUUGUGUUUUGUAAGAGAAAGAUGAUGGCUGAUUGGCUUCCCUUUCUUCAGAUUCGACCUAAAGAUAAAUUGGGGUGCAUUAAAUUGUUAUCCAAAACUAUGUAGCUUGUUGAAGCUUGCUAAAUUGUGUAGAAAAGAAUCAAGGGUUUAUGCCUAUGGGAAGGGGUAUAAACAGUAGCAAAUAUGUUAAGCAGGAACACUAAGUGGAGUGCUCUAAAGCUAUUAUGUCUUUAUAGAGGAUAUAGAAAGUGUCAUAUGUACUAAGCAGGGAUUGAAAAAAUUGCAUCUUGAUUCUCUUAACCAUGUAGAUUUGCAUUUCUGGCUUACCCUUUUUUUUUUUGUUAAAUGAUAGACGCACACUGACCGUAGCUACUGCAUUAAGUUAAGACCUUGAUGGAUGUGAGAUUUCAAAGGACUGGGUUUUCGAGAUUUCAAAGGACCGGCUCAUGGGGCACGCCCCCGAAGGAAGCUCACUCUAUUUGUCUAGGAAACAGGUGGGGUUGUUCUGCACCUAUGAAUAUAUGAUAUAAAUACGUAGAGUUGAAUGUUAGUUUCACUUUCUUUUUAUAUUAUAGAUCCAUAUGAAUCCUUUUUUCCAGCGAAACGUCAAAUUUUCCUCCAAAUUCUAGGGCAGCCUCCUUACUUGGUAACAACUGGAAGAUGUGCAGCUCCAUUAUACUUGCUUUUCAAAACUUAGAC